rnacentral:lncRNA from 1 species
GUCAGUAAUAUUUAGCCUCAAUAGGUCACAUGUUGUCUUUGAUAAUUAUAUGUGAUGAUGGUAUAUAAGUAGGUUUGCAGGAGAAUGUCAACUAUGAAGAAGUUUAUAUAUCAGCUUUUACAUCCUCUAGUUCUAAAACAUGUAAAAUAGGAUAAAGAGAGUGUAGCGCAUACCUACCUUUAAUGAUGUUAUAAUUUUAUUUAUAAUUUUUGUUUGUCAAAGAAUGUUUGUGACGUCAAUGGUCCGGAGCCGA